UUACGACCAUAUAACAUUGAAACAACAGUUCUCGUUUGAUCACCGAAGUUAAGCAACGUCGAGAACUUGGUCAGUACCUAGACGGAUGACCGCUUUGGAAUACCCAGUGCUGUGA